rnacentral:rRNA from 1 species
AAUCUUGCGCAAUGGGCGAAAGCCUGACGCAGCCAUGCCGCGUGAAUGAUGAAGGUCUUAGGAUUGUAAAAUUCUUUCACCGGGGACGAUGAUGACGGUACCCGGCGAAGAAGCCCCGGCUAACUUCGUGCCAGCAGCCGCGGUAAUACGAAGGGGGCUAGCGUUGCUCGGAAUUACUGGGCGUAAAGGGAGCGUAGGCGGACAUUUAAGUCAGGGGUGAAAUCCCGGGGCUCAACCUCGGAAUUGCCUUUGAUACUGGGUGUCUUGAGUAUGAGAGAGGUAUGUGGAACUCCGAGUGUAGAGGUGAAAUUCGUAGAUAUUCGGAAGAACACCAGUGGCGAAGGCGACAUACUGGCUCAUUACUGACGCUGAGGCUCGAAAGCGUGGGGAGCAAACAGG